AUCGAUUUCUUGUAAGGUGUAGUUCUUCACUAGAUUCAUUUCACAACCUCUCAUGUUGUGAAUUCUUAGAAAGUAUUCCGCCAAUCGCUUCCAAUGUGACCUCAAAGCUUGAAUUUUCAGUUGUUUUCCUGGUGGUAUGGUCGUAGACGUUGGAUGUUUCUAAAAUAUUGCUUUUAUAGGUAACGAUUUGCAAAUGUCGCGAAAUACUUUUACACAUUCUGCGGGCUGAAUCUGAAAUGCGAUUUCCGAGCUAUAUAUAGACUGGCAAAAAUGAAAGUCUACAACACGAAGUAUUCCCAGGCGGUCACCCAUCCAAGUACUAACUUCGCCCGACCAGGCUUAACUUCGGUGAUCAGAGGAGAAGCGUUUUUUUUUGUUUUUUUUUUCUUAAUAACUUUAUUUACAUUUGUACAAUUUGUUUGAUUUCAUAAUCUAGUUUAUGUUUAGUUUUUCCGUGUUUUCAUUUGUUUCAAUUAACUGAAUGUUAUUUGUGUUGAUUUUCUUCAUAGUUUCAUUA
rnacentral:lncRNA from 1 species